UUGGGUCCGGCUUGGAGGAAACUGAAAUCCAUGUGAGCUGCUCUGGUUUUUAAGCAUCCUCCCUAAAUGAGGCAGCAAGGGGAACCUGUCCCACAGCAGGCAGCCAGGCUGCCAGGGCAUGCAAAUCCCCCACCAGUAAUUGACUUGAAACGGAGGGCUGCAAACUGGGGAAUACUCCAGACUGAUCAAAGAAAAGCUGGAAGAAAGGACAAAGGAGGGAAACCACUUCUCAAGGAAUCUUUUGCAUUUGACAAUUCAAAGCAGAAGAGCAGCAGACCCAUUUGUCAGAAGCUCUGGGAGGAAAGCAGGAAUUGCCUGGGAGCAUCCAGGGAUGUGGGGUUGACUCCAGAUGCUGGAUCUCUGAGAGGUAUUUCAUUCAUCACUGUAUUAUACAGAAAUCCUGAGCUGAAUAAAACCCUCUGAAAGAAGAUGAGGAGAAGCACUCUGCCUUAUGGAUUGCUUUGCCACUCGAUUUCUCUGCCUGCUUUCCAUGAACAUGGAAAUGAAACCCUGUACUGGGAGGUGUGACUUUGUACU